AGCAGCCGCCACGGUAAUACGUAGGUCCCGAGCGUUGUCCGGAUUUAUUGGGCGUAAAGCGAGCGCAGGCGGUUAGAUAAGUCUGAAGUUAAAGGCUGUGGCUUAACCAUAGUACGCUUUGGAAACUGUUUAACUUGAGUGCAAGAGGGGAGAGUGGAAUUCCAUGUGUAGCGGUGAAAUGCGUAGAUAUAUGGAGGAACACCGGUGGCGAAAGCGGCUCUCUGGCUUGUAACUGACGCUGAGGCUCGAAAGCGUGGGGAGCAAACAGGAUUAGAUACCCCUGUAGUCCCUGUCUCUUAUACA
rnacentral:rRNA from 1 species